rnacentral:tRNA from 1 species
AGGAGUAAUGGCCGAGUGGUAAGGCGUCAGCUUGCUAAGUUGAUUUGUGUCGUCAGGCGACCGAUCGCAGGUUCAAACCCUGCUUACUCCUG